CCUACGGGGGGCAGCAGUGAGGAAUAUUGGUCAAUGGGCGCGAGCCUGAACCAGCCAAGUAGCGUGAAGGAUGACUGCCCUACGGGUUGUAAACUUCUUUUAUAAAGGAAUAAAGUGAGGCCCGUGUGCCUUUUUGUAUGUACUUUAGGAAUAAGGAUCGGCUAACUCCGUGCCAUCAGCAGCGGUAAUACGGAGGAUCCGAGCGUUAUCCGGAUUUAUUGGGUUUAAAGGGAGCGUAGAUGGGUGCUUAAGUCAGUUGUGAAAGUUUGCGGCUCAACCGUAAAAUUGCAAUUGAUACUGGCAGCCUUGAGUACAGUUGAGGUAGGCGGAAUUCGUGGUGUAGCGGUGAAAUGCUUAGAUAUCACGAAGAACUCCGAUUGCGAAGGCAGCUUACUAAACUGCCACUGACAUUGAUGCUCGAAAGUGUGGGUAUCAAACAGGAUUAGAUACCCUUGUAGUC
rnacentral:rRNA from 1 species